UACAGAGGGGGCAAGCGUUAUUCGGAAUUAUUGGGCGUAAAGAGCUCGUAGGCGGUCUGUCGCGUCUGCUGUGAAAAUCCAGGGCUCAACCCUGGACCUGCAGUGGGUACGGGCAGACUAGAGUGCGGUAGGGGAGAUCGGAAUUCCUGGUGUAGCGGUGAAAUGCGCAGAUAUCAGGAGGAACACCGGUGGCGAAGGCGGAUCUCUGGGCCGUAACUGACGCUGAGGAGCGAAAGCAUGGGGAGCGAACAGG
rnacentral:rRNA from 1 species